UUUAUCAGUUGAGGAAACAGGCCCAAGUAGCAUGACUUGUUCGCGCCGCUAGUCGAAGGAGCAGCAGCCCCGAUCCCUUGACUCUGGGGCACUGCUUUCCCUUUAGCUCAUUUUUGGAGGAAAUGGGUGCGCCCUUGCUCGACCUUUGGUGAUUGCCGCCACAGGCCUUCCCGCCGGCUAACUCAGCGUGCCCAAGUCCCGUGACUUAGUGCCAGGAC
ensembl:lncRNA EPM2A-DT EPM2A divergent transcript